rnacentral:rRNA from 1 species
AUACGAAAAGGUGCAAGCGUUACUCGGAAUCACUGGGCGUAAAGCGCACGUAGGCGGACUCGCAGGUCAAUUGUGAAAUACCUGGGCUCAACCCGGGAACUGCAGUUGAAACCGCUUGUCUUGAAUACCUGAGAGGGUGGGGGAAUACCUGGUGGAGAAGUGAAAUUCGUAGAGAUCAGGUGGAACACCGGAGGCGAAGGCGCCUGCCUGGCAGUGUAUUGACGCUGAGGUGCGAAAGUGCGGGGAGCGAACAGG